rnacentral:snRNA from 1 species
AUCGCUUCUCGGCCUUUUGGCUAAGAUCAAGUGUAGUAUCUGUUCUUAUCAGUUUAAAACUUGACAUAAUUUUAAAAGGAAUAUCUAAUGAAGAAAAGGUUUUGUGCCUUGUCCACCACUU